rfam:Loxodonta africana unplaced genomic scaffold scaffold_24, whole genome shotgun sequence.
AAGACUUCACAAUGAUUUGAUGACCAUGUGCAAGGAUGCUGAUUCGAGUCUCUUCCAAUUCUCUAGUAAUGUCACUGGUCCAGGCAGGGCUAAACAUACCUCUUCACUAGUGGCAUGAUUUCUGAUUGCAUUUAAUAUCACC